rnacentral:rRNA from 1 species
CAGCAGCCACGGGAAUACGGAGGGUGCAAGCGUUGUCCGGAUUUAUUGGGUUUAAAGGGUGCGUAGGCGGCUAUUUAAGUCAGCGGUGAAAGACCCCGGCUCAACCGGAGCAGUGCCAUCGAUACUGGAUAGCUUGAGUGUUGGAGGGGUACAUGGAAUUGAUGGUGUAGCGGUGAAAUGCAUAGAUACCAUCAGGAACACCGAUAGCGAAGGCAUUGUACUGGCCAACAACUGACGCUGAGGCACGAAAGCAUGGGGAGCGAACAGGAUUAGAUACCCCUGUAGUCCCUGUCUCUUAUAC